rnacentral:rRNA from 1 species
AUGGCCUUGCCGGCGAUCCCCAAGGAGCUCCUGGCGGAUAUCUUCCUCCGCCUUCCCGCCCCGGAGGACCUCAUCCGCGUCUCCGCCGCCUGCGUCUCCUUCCGCCGCCUCGUCGCCGACCGCGCCUUCCUCCAGCGCUUUCGCAAGCUCCACCCUCCGCCCCUCCUCGGCUUCCUCGACUACAGCGGCUUCCACCCGCCGAACCGCCUCACCCCUCCGCGCCGGUGGCCAGCGCGGUCGACAGCGCCGCGGACUUCGACUUCGAGUUCCUCCCCGCCCCCUACUGGGACUGGACCGUGCGGGAAGUCCGCGACGGCCGCGUCCUCCUCGACAGACCCGGCCGUCACGUCUAGCUCGAACCCCUCUUCAACGAGAUGGUGGUGUGCGACCCCCUGCACCGGCAGUACCUCCUGCUCCCUCCUAUCCCCGGUGACCUAG